GGCAUCGAGCGGGGCAACGAUGCUUCGCGAGAGGGAACCUGGUGAGAAUCCGGGACUGUCCCGCAGCGGUAUGCAGGAACGACCGCCGUCUUGGAAGUAGACAAGCACUGGUCUCAACGACUGGGAAGCGACGGCCAGUAGGAGCACCCACCGGGUGCGAGCCUGCGAGUCCGAAGACCUGCCAGCCGUGCCGGACGCGCC
rnacentral:ncRNA from 22 species